GUGAAAUUGUUGAAAGGGUAAACGAUUGAAGCCAGUCGUACCGACGAGAAAUCAGCUCGUUUUUGUGCGAACUUGUGGGCGUGCGUGAGCGUUUACGGCCUCGCUGUUUGCUAUGUUUGUGCUCUUUGGGUGUACGUUUUUCGUAUGGUAGGCCAAUGUCAGUUUCGAUUAUCAUAAAAUAAUUGGAGGAAUGUAGCUUCGACCUCGGUUGAAGUGUUAUAGCCUCUGGUAGAUGUGGUAAUUGGGACUGAGGAUUGCAACGAAUACCUUUUAGGCUAUCCGUCUGACCUCUGAAGGUCGCUUAGGUGCCGAAAGCUUGCUUACGGUUAUUUAAGUUGGCGGUCAAUAGGUUAGAACGUGAUUAUAUUCGUUAAGGAUGUUGACGUAAUGGCUUUAAACGAC
rnacentral:rRNA from 1 species